rnacentral:snoRNA from 1 species
UGCGGUCUAGUCGCAUGGAGCCCCAUUCCUGCCGUGGUGGGUGCUGGCCAGAUGACUGCCACAGCAAGCUCCACAAUUCA